rnacentral:rRNA from 1 species
AGUGAACGCUGGCGGUAGGCCUAACACAUGCCAGUCGAACGGCAGCACAGUAAUAUCUUGCUCUUACGGGGUGCGAGUGGCGGACGGGUGAGGAAUACAUCGGAAUCUACUUUUUCGGGUGGGAUAACGUAGGGAGACUUACUCUAAUACCGCAUACGACCUACGGGGGAAAGCAGGGGAUCGUCGGACCUUGCGCGAUUGAAUGAGCCGAUGUCGGAUUAGCUAGUUGGCGGGGUAAAGGCCCACCAAGGCGACGAUCCGCAGCUGGUCUGAGAGGAUGAUCAGCGACACUGGAACUGAGACACGGUCCAGACUACUACGGGAGGCAGCAGUGGGGAAUAUUGGACAAUGGGCGCAAGCCUGACACAGCCAUCCCGCGUGGGUGAAGAAGGCCUUCGGGUUGUAAAGCCCUUUUGUUGGGAAAGAAAAGCAGCAGGUUAAUACCCAGCUGUUCUGACGGUACCCAAAGAAUAAGCACCGGCUAACUUCGUG